CCUACGGGUGGCAGCAGUGAGGAAUAUUGGUCAAUGGACGAGAGUCUGAACCAGCCAAGUAGCGUGAAGGAUGACUGCCCUAUGGGUUGUAAACUUCUUUUAUAUGGGAAUAAAAUGUUCCACGUGUGGGAUUUUGUAUGUACCAUAUGAAUAAGGAUCGGCUAACUCCGUGCCAGCAGCCGCGGUAAUACGGAGGAUCCGAGCGUUAUCCGGAUUUAUUGGGUUUAAAGGGAGCGUAGGUGGAUUGUUAAGUCAGUUGUGAAAGUUUGCGGCUCAACCGUAAAAUUGCAGUUGAAACUGGCAGUCUUGAGUACAGUAGAGGUGGGCGGAAUUCGUGGUGUAGCGGUGAAAUGCUUAGAUAUCGCGAAGAACUCCGAUUGCGAAGGCAGUUCACUGGACUGCAACUGACACUGAGGCUCGAAAGUGUGGGUAUCAAACAGGAUUAGAUACCCGAGUAGUC
rnacentral:rRNA from 1 species